rnacentral:rRNA from 1 species
AGCCGGCCUGAGAGGGCGACCGGCCACACUGGGACUGAGACACGGCCCAGACUCCUACGGGAGGCAGCAGUGGGGAAUAUUGCACAAUGGGCGCAAGCCUGAUGCAGCGACGCCGCGUGAGGGAUGACGGCCUUCGGGUUGUAAACCUCUUUCAGCAGGGAAGAAGCGCAAGUGACGGUACCUGCAGAAGAAGCACCGGCUAACUACGUGCCAGCAGCCGCGGUAAUACGUAGGGUGCGAGCGUUGUCCGGAAUUAUUGGGCGUAAAGAGCUCGUAGGCGGCUUGUUGCGUCGAUUGUGAAAGCCCGGGGCUCAACCCCGGGUCUGCAGUCGAUACGGGCAGGCUUGAGUUCGGUAGGGGAGAUCGGAAUUCCUGGUGUAGCGGUGAAAUGCGCAGAUAUCAGGAGGAACACCGGUGGCGAAGGCGGAUCUCUGGGCCGAUACUGACGCUGAGGAGCGAAAGCGUGGGGAGCGAACAGGAUUAGAUACCCUGGUAGUCCACGCCGUAAACGGUGGGAACUAGGUGUGGGCGACAUUCCACGUCGUCCGUGCCGCAGCUAACGCAUUAAGUUCCCCGCCUGGGGAGUACGGCCGCAA